GACGAACGCUGGCGGCGUGCUUAACACAUGCAAGUCGAACGGACGGGCGAUGAUCUUGUGGGGUGCUCGAGUGGCGAAGGGGUGAGUAAAACGUGAGUAUCCUGUCCUUGUCAUUGGGAUAACUUUAGGAAACUGGGGAGAAAAUCGGGUAGGAGCUCCUGCUGCGCGGGGGGGAUUGGAGAAAUUCGGCGGUAGGGGAUGGACUCGCGGGUUAUGCGCUGGAUGGGCGGGUAGGGGCGGACAAAGGCUAUGACGGGUAGGCGGCCUGGGAGGGUGACCGGCCACAAUGGGACUGCGAGACGCCGCAGAAGCCUACGGGAGGCAGCGGGGGGGAAUAUUGCACAAUGGGCGGAAGCCUGAUGCAGCAACGCCGCGUGCGGGAUGACGGCCUUCGGGUUAUAAACCGCUGUCGCCUGUGACGAAGCGUGAGUGACGGUAAUGGGUAAAGAAGCACCGGCUAACUACGUG
rnacentral:rRNA from 1 species